ACUGGCGUGUCCGAGUGGUUAAGGAGGUGGACUUAAGAUCCACUGCGCGGUAUGCGCUCGCGAGUUCGAAUCUCGUCGCCAGUA
rnacentral:tRNA from 1 species